UCCUACGGGUGGCUGCAGUGGGGAAUUUUGCGCAAUGGGGGAAACCCUGACGCAGCAACGCCGCGUGGAGGAUGAAGCCCCUUGGGGCGUAAACUCCUUUCGACCAAGACGAUAAUGACGGUACUGGUGGAAGAAGCACCGGCUAACUCUGUGCCAGCAGCCGCGGUAAUACAGAGGGUGCGAGCGUUGUUCGGAAUUAUUGGGCGUAAAGGGCGCGUAGGCGGUGCGGUAAGUCACCUGUGA
rnacentral:rRNA from 1 species